GAUGAACGCUGGCGGCGUGCCUAAUACAUGCCAGUCGAACGAAACUUCUUUAUCACCGAGUGCUUGCACUCACCGAUAAAGAGUUGAGUGGCGAACGGGUGAGUAACACGUGGGCAACCUGCCCAAAAGAGGGGGAUAACACUUGGAAACAGGUGCUAAUACCGCAUAACCAUAGUUACCGCAUGGUAAUUAUGUAAAAGGUGGCUAUACUACCGCUUUUGGAUGGGCCCGCGGCGCAUUAGCUAGUUGGUAGGGUAAAGGCUCACCAAGGCAAUGAUGCGUAGCCGAAUUGAGAGGUUGAUCGGCCACAUUGGGACUGAGACACGGCCCAAACUCCUACGGGAGGCAGCAGUAGGGAAUCUUCCACAAUGGGCGAAAGCCUGAUGGAGCAACGCCGCGUGGGUGAAGAAGGUCUUCGGAUCGUAAAACCCUGUUGUUAGAGAAGAAAGUGCGUGAGAGUAACUGUUCACGUUUCGACGGUAUCUAACCAGAAAGCCACGGCUAACUACGUG
rnacentral:rRNA from 1 species